CCGAACACGGAAGUUAAGCUUUUCAGCGCCGAUGGUAGUAGGGGGCUUCCCCCUGUGAGAGUAGGUCGUCGCCGGGC
rnacentral:rRNA from 1 species